AAGCAGCUCUGCACACACGCCCAGACACACACACUCUCUCACUCACAGCCCCAUACGACAUCAGAAAUCUCACCGGCGAAAGACGCACAAAGCCGAGAGAGAACGCGCGCGUAGCACAGCCCACAACUCAUAAUCUCGUUUUUUUUUUCCUAUUUUUUUUUCCUUUUUUUUUUAGUAAACGGAAGAGGACCGAAUAGGUAGAUCGACCGUCACUGGUUCACUGGUCGGGUCUUCUAUCGAUCGAUCACUGAGGGGUGCGACGGGCUGAAGAUUUCGAGCCCUCUCACCUUCUCCCUCUCCCUCACCGCCCCUCCCCCCACCCCCCCACGCCCUUGUCAGACACCUCACAGCCAAGCAGUCGUAUCUACAGUCGUUUCCUUUCGUGACAACCGCGGCAGUGGCCGCGUCGGCGCCCGUCCGUUUUCGUCAUUGCCAACACAGCUCACGACGCCCCCACGCACGACCACACCACCACCCCGCGGCCUGUCGCGUUGCCCGUCGCCUCACUUCUUCGUCUAUUUCUUCGUCUUCUCUUCCAUCAUUCGCUUCUUCUUUUUUUUUUCUGUUUCCCGGCCCGCUUUUUUUUUCAUCGAUAGAGUUCACCAUCCACGCAGAGGGACGGAACGGAAACGGGGGGUAUGGUGUUGGGGUGGUGGCGUCACGCAUCGUAGCGCACGGUUUCCACUCCCUCCCUUUUGAACAGCCCCGCCACCAUCACCACCCUGCAGGCCCUUAUUUAUCUCUUACACACACACACACACACGCUACAUAUUCCUUCUCUUCCUCUCUCCCGCUCAAUAUCACGGACUCACGGACGUGCCGCUUUCGUGUGUUUGUUCUUCGUUUCCUGGAUUACACCGACGCGCACACACGCACGCAUCAUCCCCCUCCCCACCGGCUUGUCGUGUGUAUGCGGGCGUGUGCGUGUGAGCUAUUCGGGCAGAGUUCGAUCUUGACUGCGCGCUGAGUAAACCUCCCACCCUCCCCCCUUUCCCCCGCUAUCUUGCUCUCUGUGCAGACGUGUCGCGUCGCCGUGACGAGCACGGAAGCACACGAGUACACGCGCACACGCCCAGAGAGAGAGAGGACACCAGCUGGCGCGGCGUUCCCUGUUUGGUGUUGAGGAGGCAGAGACGGCGAGUUGCUUCUCGAGUGUGUCCGUGUGUGUUAGAGUAUCUCAGAAACAUCAGAAUUCAUUGGUCUUACCCAUCAGUCUAUCUGUCUAUUGAUAUAUAUAUAUAUAUAUAUAUAUCAAUAGACAGAUAUAUAGCCGUCUGCCUAGAUAUAUAUAUAUAUACAUCUAUUGAUAUAUCUAACCACCUAUUUAUAUAUAUAUACACAUCCAUCUAUCUAUAUCUACAUAUAGCUCUCUAUUAGUGUGGUUUCCCUCUUUUUUUUUCGGUUUUUUUUUUGAUGGCUAUUCUCUGCUCUCGUCGUCCUGUUUUUCGCUUUCGUUUCGUUGUUUUCCCUUGUCUCUUCAGGGUCUUCCUCAACCGCUUGCCGUUGUUGCCCCACACGCGUCGUCGUCGACGUCCUCAUAUUAGUUUGUGUGUGUGUGUGUGUGUGGCGACUCCGUGCCCAGUGAGAGCCGGACUGUGUCGGCAUCAUCAGACGUCUUUUUUUUUGCCGGCCGCGGACGCUUCGUUUCCUUUUCCCUUCGUUGGCGUGGAAGUUCGAGUGACGCACAACACAACGGACGCGACGCCUCCGACCGCAUCACCCCCCCCGCCUUCUCCCUCCCCCUCAUCACCUUUCCGUCUUCCUAUAUCCCUCUGUGUGUGUGUGUGUGUGUUGUUGGCCAAGCCCCUUCCCCCUCCACGCCUUUUUGUUUUCGUGCCCUUUCCGCUUCUUUUUGUCGUUGUUGUUGUUGUGUGUGUGUGUGUGUUUGAGGGGCGAGAAGAGGAGGAGGAGGCCCUGUCUGGCUCUGGGUGUGGGUGCUGCAUCGACCCACAGGCGCGCCUCUUCGUUGCCUCUCUCUUUUCGGUUGUUUCAUUCUUGAAUAUUCACAGCUCGCGUCCUGCCUGCCUUCAUAUAUAUAUAUAUAUACCCGCGUCGAACGGAGAACGAACCAACGCCCGACCGGGGAGCCGCACACACAACGUUUCUAAAUAAAACGGUACAUCAAUAAAGCGGUGACUCACAGGCACACGUAGAGGCGCAGGCCAGCAAGCACCGCGCACCGGCGCGCGAGUGAACGCCGCAAGAGAAGCAAGGUGGAAAGUGGUUGAGAGAAAACGUGCAUCGGGUCCAGCUUCCUCUGUUUGUUGCUGUUUUAGACACCUUUGUGGGCGGAAGCGAUAGCAGGAAAUCCCGCGAAGGAUCCAGCAGAUUACGUACACGCGCGCAGUCAGGCAUUGCGCGAACUAUUCGGUGUGUGGUCGCGUUGGACGUGCGCGUGAGUGUGCAGCAGGCCAUACCCAAAGAGCUGAAGAAGGAAGUAUCGUGGCGGCUGAGUCUGACGGACCAAGCGGCAAGGCAUACAGCAGCAGCUCCACGACCGAAAGGGAAGAAGUCGCGGUGAUCGCGUAUUUAUUUAUUGAUGUGCGUGUGUGUGUGUAUGUGUGUCACACCCUGACAAAUUAGCACAGACAGACAGACACACACACACACACAUCGUUGUCGUUGUUGUCUUGAGUGUUUUCUCUCUUAUCUCUUCCUUCCCUGUGGUGGCGCACGCUUUCGUGUUACGCAUAGAGACACACGUAAAGGCACGCACACACGCAUCCUCCUCCUCCCCCCUUGAUCGCCUCAUAAACUCGUAUUGACCUCCACUCACCGAUUCCUCGACGGUGCCUCUGUUGUUUUGGGGCUUCUCGUUGGGUUGUGUGUGCGCGCGGAUCGGCUCGUCACGUGUUGUUUCAUUUUACCUGUGUUUGUUUCUUCUGUGUGCGUGUCUGUGUUUUUCGAAGUGCGGAACUAUCCGCACAUGCAUACGCACACGGCGUAUAUACGCAUCCCCCACUCGCCUCUCUAUCCUUUCAUCGCUUACGAAGACAGCGCACAUACAGUUAGAGAACGAGGACACCUCCCGUCGAAGUAUUCUUUUCCUUCUAUAUAUAUAUAUAUAUAUAAGGUUGUGGAUCGUGGUUUGUGUGGGCGUCUUGUUGUUGCGGUUGUUGAUUUCGUUGCACUUGAUCGAGUCGUGUUCGCGAGUACCUUCGUGCGUGUGUAUGUUACGUCUUUGGUGAGUCUUGGCGCGCACACGCUCAUCAAUACCGACUCUUCCUUUUCUCUGUUUUUUUUUUCGCUAUAUUUUUCCCUUCCUUGUUUUCGAGGACGCAUCGCCUCUCAUCUCCGGCUGGCAACAUAGAACUCAUCUCGUGUGUGAUUCGCUUUACACAUACAUUUGUGGCCUCCGUGUCUUCAUCAAGUCUCGUGGUAUAGUUGUGACGCUCUUGAUCGCCUCGCUGUCGAUCUCUCACUCACUCUCGCUCUCACCAUCUCCUUCAGUGCCUGUAUCUGUGUUGCGCGCCACAUUUUCUUGGUUUUGUCUUUCUGUGCUCUUGUACCUCACUGCACUCUCGUUGCCGUUGUGUGUGUGUGUGUGUGUUUCAAUCCCUGUCGUGACGCCCCCUUGCAGUCUCGCCCACCCACUUUCCCUUGCUGGCAAGCGUACGCACACGCAUACGCACAUGCAUAUAUACAUAUAUACGUGCAGAAACAGUGUACACGCGCCCUUCCGCCUUUUCCCUUCUCCUGCAUCACUUGGGGGCCCUCUGAAUCUCUUGCCUUUGUCGCUUGCGUGCCGUUGUUGGUUUGGCUUUCCAUCUCGCUUAUCGCUGCCAUCCACUACGUGACCUCUUCCCCCACCACCACCACCACCUCUCUCUCUCUUGGUUUCGAUCGUGUCUCUUGUUGUUGCUGCUGGCGUUCGCUUAGCUGCGGCGCCGUCCUCUCCCCAUCAACUCUCCCUUUCUCCCUCGCUCCUGUAUCGCUGCCUACAGCGCUCCCCUCUCGUCUUCACUCAUUUUUCUCUCUGUGUGAUUGUGUUUUCGUGUGCGUGUCUUUGUGAUUUCACGUUCUUUUUUGUUUCGUGUGUGUGUGUGUGUGUGUGUGUUCUUGGCUAUCUGCCCCACCACCCCCUCCUCCUCAUAGAGUAACCCUCCCCUCCGGCGACGGCGAUAAACGGCCAGAGCGGUUACCUGGCACUCUCCUCGACGCAUCCAGCGAGCAGUUCUGAGCGCAUUCUCCUUCCGCGUUUCGCACGCUUUUCGUUGCCGUUUUUUUUUUUUGCGCAGUCGCAUCAAAGGCAUCUUCUCCGGGACUCACGUCCGUGUGGAGAAGCGGCGUGAGUGGGGCAGGCGACGUGAUCGCUUAUCCUCCUCCCUCUGUGUGUGUGUGUGUGUGUGUGGGCACGUCUUUAGCCCGAAGGCCCAUAAACACCGGCAAGCCACCGCGCCACGUGUGUUAAUCUUGCAUACAGUACACGGCCUAUUACCUAUAUAUAGAGAGAGAGCUGUGGCGGCGCGUGUGUGGUGUCCGCGUGGUCUGUCUGUGUGUCUGUCUGUACGUGCUUGGCCUCCACAACAGCAGCAGUAGCAGCCAACGAAACCCCCCCCCCCCGAAAAAAAAAAGAGCGAGGAGAGCUGAGGGGACCGCGCGCUCGGUGCCGUCUCCUCCCCCCGCCACCACCACCUUCCCUUCCCUACAUAUAUAUAUAAGCAUUUCAGUGUACCUUUACUUGUCUACCUGUGUGGUUCGUGAAGAAUCGGGAGGUGUUCGUGCGCGUGUUCGUUUGGUUAGUAUUAUUAUUUUCCAUCUCGGUCUCUUCACUGUCAGUGCCUGAAAGCGGGCGUGUCCAUCGGCACGUCCUGCCCUCGCCCUCUUUCCCUCCUCCCUCCCUUCUCUUGCUGUUGCGUGUGUGUGUGUGUGUGUGUGUGUGUGUGUGUGUGUGCGUGCUGUGGGAUUCCUUGUUUUUUUUUGUGUGUGUGUGUGUUGCACAGCUUCAUUUUUUCCGUCUCGCUUGACCCCUCUCUCGGUCUCUCUCUCUAGCUCUCGCUAUCCUCUUACCCGUGUGCCGCUACUCCUUUUCCGUUUUCGCUGCGUGAGGGUGGGGUGGGGUGGGCUGCCGCUGUUGUUGGCGGCGAGUCGGCCUUCUCCGCGCCGCUCGGCGCUUGCUUCAUCAAAGCCUUCUCCGUCAUCCUCCUUCGUCCUUGUUUUCCGUUGGUGCUGGCAGUGGUGAAGGACGACGUAUGUUGGGUCGCUCCGCGCACGAAACGAUGCGGGCACCGGCGCUAGCCUCCUGGCAGCCGCAGGAGCCGCGUGGAACGGAUUCGGCCCUGUCGUUGUCACCGCAGCAGCGUCCAUUGCUGUCGCUGAGGUCGCCGCCGAGUACGCCGCAACAGCGCGACGGUGGACGCCAUCCGUAUCCACACCACCAUCGUCAUCAGUAUCAGCAGCGCGCGAAUCAGCAGCAGCAGCGCACGCCUCGCGCUGGCGCGGCCGCCCCUCCACCGUACUCGGAUCGCAGUGAUGCUGCGUCUGCCGGCGAGUUGGUGUCACCGCUCAUGCGCUCACCGAGGAUGACCUCGCCGCUUCAGUAUCAGCAGCAGCAUCACAGGCGAUAUCGCUCCUCUCUGCCGGCACCGCCGCCGCUGCGCAGCCUGACGCUCUCGUCAGACCGCGUAUCUCUGCGACUCGCACGCGCACAUGCGCCGCACCACCAGCAGCGUACCCAUCACGUUGACCAGAGCGGUCGCCCCGCCACGCGUCACGCUCCCCCGCUGUCGAUCGCCGCCUUGGAAGAGCACGACUCAGCGAGUGCCACGGCCCGGCAAGGGUCUCGCGCUCAUAAUCGGCGACACACACGCGGUCGCAGCAACGUGCAACUGCACCUCUCAGCGCCGGUGCUGAGCAACAACCAAGCGGAAGACAAGGCGCACCUGUCCACGCCGGUGGAUCAGCGCAUCCCGGCCAUGGUGCCACCGUCGUAUGAUGUGUACAACCUCGACAUGCCUGGCGCUGGUAUGCGUGAAGCAGCAGCAGGAGCGACGCGUGGUGCCUACGCGUCGUCAUCGCUCACCUCACAGGCGUACCAGCUCAAAACUGCGCAGCCGCAGCUCCUGCACACGCUGAAGCUGGUGGACGGUGUGUGGCGAGUCGUCGUACCUCCGCAGCAGCAGCCACCGACAUCCGGGCCACAACUGCAGCGUGGCACGGCCGCCCACCAGCGCCAUGGCAACCCCGCAUGCCACUCGCCCAGGAAUCACAGCUGCGACUGGUGCGGUGGUUUGGACAACAGCGAGGCGGCAUCGGCCACGGAGGCCGCCUCGCCGACAAGGUGUCACGGCGCCAAGAGCCCAACAUACAGGAUUCCGACAGCGACCACCUUCACCGCCGCCGGCACGCCGUGCGGCCUGUCUAUGUCGGCGUGCGAUGGUGACUGGAGGUCGCCGUGCCUCGCGGCGGCGAAUAUGUGGUGUCACCAGCAGCACUAUCCGCUGCAGUGCCACGCUCGCACCACGCCUGCGUCCGUCGCAAUGCGCAGCAGCAGUGUCGGCCUGUCCGACGGCGUUGACACGGCUCUUUCUCCCGCCUCCACCCCUGCGCGUGCGCCGCGGACGCCACGGCGACAGCAGCAGCAACCUCACCUACCGCACGGUCGGUAUGGCGCUCACCACCACUGCGGCGUCCACUCGCCGUCGGCCCCUUCCUUCGCUUCCGAAGAGGCGUACGCCACGUGCGGGCAGUGCAACACGCCACACGAGGCCGAUCUGGCAGCCGGCACGCCGUCGUCGGCGGUUCCCCGCGCCGCUGCCUCGGUGGCCGGGCGGGGCUACCAGCAAGCGCUGAUGACACCAACAAUCGUGAUUGCCAGGGCGACACCGGCGACCGCCCGCGACGCGCUCACCGCCACCACGGUGACAGACGCUCGAUGGGGCUUUACCAACUCUGCCGCCGCCUCCACAUCCGUCGGGUCAACGCUGCAGCACGACAACGCGCGCACGACGCUGCCAUCAAUCGCCUCUGUCUCUGCUGCUACGGCCACAGCCGAUGGAGGCCGCGGCGGCGCAGUGGCGGUCCAUGACGACGACGACGACGACGCGGCACUGCUGUACGCCUCCUCCUCGGCCUACCUGCGUUAUCAACGUAAUGCAGACUUUCUCUACGCCGUCGACGACGCCGACGAGUGCGAGGCCGCCGCGGCGCCGACGGCCAGAGGUGCCACAGCGUUGGGCGAUGCGCUCAUGCUCGCAGCCACGCAAGCCACCGCGGCCAUGGACUCGCCAGUUACGGUGUCCUCCCGCUCGGCCUCCUCCUCCCCAGCGCCGUCUUCUGUGUACUACAGUCCGCAGCAGUUUCGCGUCGGCGACCUGCAGCAGAGCGCACCGGCGACAGCAACGACGACGCCGGCGCUUCGCAUGCGUCAGCCACACAACUGGGCGCUAUACGGCCAACGUGGCACACACACGGUUUCGCAACCUUCUCACGCUGGCAGCGGCAGCAUUCUCCACAGCUGCACAGCCGUGACCCCGCUGCGGUGCUCGUGCCGCGACGCGGCUGGGUGGGCCGGCCCCAACGUUCUGACGACCCCACGAAGCGCCUGCUGCGGUGCCCCCAGCGCAGGAGAGGGAUGGCGGUCCCCGAUGCAGUGGAACCCGCGCCAGGCUCGUGACGACCUCGAGAUGGAGGCCGUGAAGCACGUCGCGCAGUUUGCCUUGGCACAGGUGGCCGCCACAGCAGCAGCAGCGGCACCGUCAACCGGCUUGUCUUCGGUCUCGUUCUCUCCCUCGUACGCCACGGUAUCUUGGAACACUGUGGCGCAGGAGGCGGCGGUUGCCGUUUCGCCGUCGCACGCGCGGGAUGGGAGCCGAGCGGAAGAGACGCGCGAUGACUCAGUGAGUCAGGACACCGUCGCCCUUGACGGAGAGGAGGCGGCGGCGGAGUGGCUGGAGCUGCUUCUACACUAUCGUGACCGAGAAAACGAAAGUGGACGCAUUCGCCGCGCUCUCGUUGAUGCCUCAGCGGCCGCGCAGGCACCACCAACAGAGGCCGAGGGUAGCAGCAACCCUAGCGCUGCCGCGGCUGCCGUGACGACGGCAACGACGAUCUCGUGGUGGGCCACCUCGUCCCUUAUGCGUGAAGGGUUUCCGUCUCGCGAUGAUGGAAGUGCGCUACAGCAGCAGCAGCAACAGGGGCGGCAGCGGCAUCACGCUGGAACUCUGCCCGCUGUAUCUUUUCCAUCGAUGGCAACAACAACACGAGCAGCGUUGGCGCCACCACCGGCGCAGCUGUGUACCGCCAUGAGUGCACACAGGGCAGCUCGCACAAUAUCGCGGUGUGUGCGCCAUAACGUGUGGCGCAUGCGCGAGAACGAGCGCCAGCGCCUCUCUGCCUCCGUCGCCGCACGCGUCGCAGCGCGGUAAAGAAAGCCCGCUUAUCCUUUGUGUGCGCGUCAACACCGCGUUCCCUCCUCCCUGCGCACGUCUCACGUGCAUAUCAACCAGGGGGAGAGCGCGAUGAAUGUGUCGAGGCCGAGGGGGAGGAGCGUUGCCGGCAAGGCGCAGCAUACCUACCGUCCAUCACCGCUUCGAGAUGCGUCAAGGCUAGACAGAACUUACAACAAAAAAAAAUUGAAAGCGCACAACGACCAGUCGCAUCAUAUCUGCGUUCGUGCCGCGCGCAAGUACGUCGCUUGCUCUCUCUCUCUCUCUCUAUAUAUAUAUAUAUCUGCGUGCAAAUUUCUGUGAGUCGAAGGGUGGUGCAGGUAUCGUGGCAAGCGGUCUCGCAUCGCCAGAGCUGCUCCUACGCCAUGUUUUCGAUGUGUAUUUUUUUUUUCUGUUCCAUGGGAAAGUCCCUCUGUGUGUACUGAAAGCUUAUGUGCAGACGAACUGCCUCUCUUGUGUCUGUCUGUCUGCAUGUUUGUGUGUGUGUGUCGUCUUCGUCGUCGCCGUCGUAUCUCUUCAGGUUGACCGUUGUUGUUGUUGCCCAGUAUUAUUAGUAUUCUUAUUCGCCUUGUUGCCCCUCAAUCACCAUCCCCAUCACGCACCCACGCCCACUUGCGCCCUCUUCUUCUCCUCUGCCAUAGAAAUCCUCUGCUUGUGUGUGUGUGUGUGUGCGUGUGCGCUUCUCUCGCUUCGCCACUUGUCAUUCCUGCGCACCCCCGAUGCAGGCCUGGCGCGCGUGGCCUUGGCACCCCCAUCCCCCUUCGCCGUCCUCCGCGGCGUCUCCUCAUUUUUGCAUGCGUGUCGGCGUGUGCACGUAUUUCUUUCAUUGUUUCGCUCAUUGGUGGAGGUGGAUGGUUGGCGGCGGUGUCAGGGAAGGGGAGGGCGGAGGGGACCGCCCCACCACCCAACACCGCUGCGCCAUGAGCAGCAAGAAGGGGGGCCUUCAGUGGUGAGUGGCCUCUGUCUGUCUGUGUCGUCCUCCGUCCGCGUGCCUUCAGUGUUAGAGCCGCAGUGGCAGAGACACGAACCAAUUCACAAUACUAAACGCAAAAAGAAAACGAAAAAAAGAGCACACACAUUUUUUUGGGGGUGGUUGAAACAGCAGGCACGCGCACAAGCAUGCGCGCACGCUUUCGAAUCCAGGCACCGACGCUCCGCCAUUACCUGCUUGUGCUCCUCCUCUCCUUCACGCUCGUCCUACGCUGGUUCGGUGUGCCGCUGCCACUUUUUCAUUUUCCGUUUUGUUUUCUACUGAUUUCCGUCUCGCUUUCAACGCACGCGCGCGUGCAGCCACUUGGCGGGACUGUCUCGCCUUCCACAGGCUCCUUUGAUUUUUCUUUGCGUGCGUGCGUGUGUGUGUGUGUGUGUGUAUUGCGCGCGCACGCACGGUGAGGGGCCACCCGUAUCUGGUGUUACCACCACCCCCUCCUCUCACCGAAGGAAGGAGGAGGGGGUUGAGCGGGGCAUUGUAUGAAGCACGACAAGGCUGAAGAAAGUAGCUAACAACAAUCGGAAGCGCGCCCGCAUGCGGCGAUGUGUGUGUGUGUGUGUGUGUGUCGCACUUGAAGAAUGACGCUUCCGUGUCUUACCUCCUUGGCAACAGCGGCGAAGUGCUUUCCUACUCCCUCUCCAUCUCUGUGUAUGCGCGCGUCUUUAGGCUUGUGUAUGCCGCCCUCUCUAUCUCCCGGUGAUCACCUCGACACUCGGCUGUCGCCCCACCCCACCCCAACCCUCUUUCUGCGUGCAUCCCCCCUCCCCCAACCUCAUCGCCACUGUGAACUCCACGCGCGAGUGCUUGCACCGAUACUUUUAAUACGACAAG
rnacentral:misc_RNA from 1 species